rnacentral:rRNA from 1 species
GACGAACGCUGGCGGCGUGCUUAACACAUGCAAGUCGAACGGAAAGGCUCCAGCUUGCUGGAGUACUCGAGUGGCGAACGGGUGAGUAACACGUGGGUAAUCUGCCCUGCACUCUGGGAUAAGCCUGGGAAACUGGGUCUAAUACUGGAUAUGACCUUUCUCCUUAUGGGGUUUGGUGGAAAGUUUUUCGGUGUGGGAUGAGCCCGCGGCCUAUCAGCUUGUUGGUGGGGUGAUGGCCUACCAAGGCGACGACGGGUAGCCGGCCUGAGAGGGUGAUCGGCCACAUUGGGACUGAGAUACGGCCCAGACUCCUACGGGAGGCAGCAGUGGGGAAUAUUGCACAAUGGGCGGAAGCCUGAUGCAGCGACGCCGCGUGAGGGAUGACGGCCUUCGGGUUGUAAACCUCUUUCAGCAGGGACGAAGCGUAAGUGACGGUACCUGCAGAAGAAGCACCGGCUAACUAUGUG